UUCUGGGAUUACAGGCGUUAGCCACCACCUGUGCCCGGCCCUAUUAUGGUUGGUAAUUUAAAUCAAGAGCUAAACAAGGUCAAUGUAUUUAAUUUGUUAUACUUCUUCAAUCUCUUUUAGUAUAGAGCAGUUCCCCCUUUUUUUUCUUUCAUGCUAUUGACUUGUUUCAGAAGCAAGUUAGUUUCUUGUAGGUCACUCCAUAUUUUGCAUUUCGGAAGUCUGUGUUUUCCUUUGUGACAUUAUGUGUCCUGUUCUGUAGCCCCUAUAUUUCCUUUAAAUGGAAAUAAUCCAGUCUGAGAGUUUUGUCUCUUAACUGAGGAUUUUGAUCCAUUUAGAUUGGUUGAGAUUACUGAUAUUUAAAAUUCAUUCCUACCAUCUCAUUUUUGCUUUCUAAUUGCCUGCUUUUUCUUUGGUUCUUCUUAACAUCUUUUCUACUUAAAAAAAAAAGUAUUUCCUUUAUCCUCUUUUAAACAUUUGAUUUCUAUUCUUUUAGUGACUGUUUUUCAAUUUUUUUUUUUUUUUUUUGUGACGGAGUUUCACUCUUGUUACCCAGGUUGGAGUGCAAUGACGUGAUCUCGGCUCACCACAAUCACCACCUCCCAUGUUCAAGCGACUCUCAG
rnacentral:lncRNA from 1 species